rnacentral:lncRNA from 1 species
UGUCUGUAAUUAGAGAGGUAGAGACCGCUAGAUCCCUGGACCGUGCUGGCCAGCCAGCCUUGCUGAAUCAGUGAGACCCUGUCUCAAAGUAGGCCUGAGAGUAAUUGGAGGGGAAACAGCAUGCUUCUGUGGACUCCCCAAGAGCAUGAAGACAGAGCAUAAAAUAUUUUCAACAGAUUGUUCUAAUUGACCUUGUGCCAGACUGCUGAAAACAAGAUGGGUUUUUUUAAAUUGUAACCAUGGAGGUGGGUGCUAAACCUGUAAAAUGGCUCUAGUGGGUCAAAAGGUUUGCUCUCCAGAAACAUGGUGGGAGGAGGGAACCAACUCUACAUGUACUCCAUGGCAUGAAGUCUGUCUGCUGGUGUGUGUGUGUGUGUGUGUGUGUGUGUGAUGAGUGGUUAGUGGAUGUGCACUUUUGUAAAUGUUUUUUAAAUUUUCCCCCCUUUGGAGAAAGUUAUCUAUUACUGGUCUGUUCUAGCCACAGUAGAUGAAUUCUUACUUUCAACUUUUAAAUUACAUCCCCUGCUUAACACUAUUAUAUCACUUCCAUUUACUCAUUAACCCAUCACAAAAUCAGUAGGGAUAAUAAUUUAAAGCAUGGGCCACCUUAGUGUAAAUGGAAUGAUAAUGUAAGAGCAACUUUUAAGUUGAAGGGUAGAGCAAAAUGCUAUUUCCCCUUAAACUUCCAUUUUUAAAUAUUUCCCUUUUGUUGGCAUGCACUAAGCAUAGUAUCAUGUACAUAAUCUGAAAUUGGCCUCUCUCUCUUUCUCAUUUUUCAAAACAAUGUUUCUAGAACUCUUGAGAUCCAAGUAUUGAGAUUAAAGAUGUGGGCCACC